GGAUGCGAUCAUACCAGCACUAAAGCACCGGAUCCCAUCAGAACUCCGAAGUUAAGCGUGCUUGGGGCGAGAGUAGUACUAGGAUAGGUGACCUCCUGGGAAGUCCUCGUGUUGCAUUCCC
rnacentral:rRNA from 1 species